rnacentral:rRNA from 1 species
GACGAACGCUGGCGGCAUGCUUAACACAUGCAAGUCGAACGGAAAGGCCCUGCUUUUGUGGGGUGCUCGAGUGGCGAACGGGUGAGUAACACGUGAGUACCUGCCCUUGACUUUGGGAUAACUUCAGGAAACUGGGGCUAAUACCGGAUAGGAGCUCCUGCUGCAUGGUGGGGGUUGGAAAGUUUCGGCGGUUGGGGAUGGACUCGCGGCUUAUCAGCUUGUUGGUGGGGUAGUGGCUUACCAAGGCUUUGACGGGUAGCCGGCCUGAGAGGGUGACCGGCCACAUUGGGACUGAGAUACGGCCCAGACUCCUACGGGAGGCAGCAGUGGGGAAUAUUGCACAAUGGGCGGAAGCCUGAUGCAGCAACGCCGCGUGCGGGAUGACGGCCUUCGGGUUGUAAACCGCUUUCGCCUGUGACGAAGCGUGAGUGACGGUAAUGGGUAAAGAAGCACCGGCUAACUACGUG